rnacentral:rRNA from 1 species
UCCAGACUCCUACGGGAGGCAGCAGUGAGGAAUAUUGGUCAAUGGGCGAGAGCCUGAACCAGCCAAGUCGCGUGAAGGAUGACGGCCCUACGGGUUGUAAACUUCUUUUGUCAGGGAGCAAUUGGGUCCACGCGUGGGCUUAGCGAGAGUACCUGAAGAAAAAGCAUCGGCUAACUCCGUGCCAGCAGCCGCGGUAAUACGGAGGAUGCGAGCGUUAUCCGGAUUUAUUGGGUUUAAAGGGUGCGUAGGUGGUUAAUUAAGUCAGCGGUGAAAGUUUGUGGCUCAACCAUAAAAUUGCCGUUGAAACUGGUUGACUUGAGUAUAUUUGAGGUAGGCGGAAUGCGUGGUGUAGCGGUGAAAUGCAUAGAUAUCACGCAGAACUCCGAUUGCGAAGGCAGCUUACUAAACUAUAACUGACACUGAAGCACGAAAGCGUGGGGAUCAAACAGGAUUAGAUACCCUUGUAC